GAUGAACGCUGACAGAAUGCUUAACACAUGCAAGUCAACUUGAACUUCGGUUUGGGUGGCGGACGGGUGAGUAACGCGUAAAGAACUUGCCUCACAGAUAGGGACAACAUUUGGAAACGAAUGCUAAUACCUGAUAUUAUGAUUUUAGGGCAUCCUAGAAUUAUGAAAGCUAUAUGCACUGUGAGAGAGCUUUGCGUCCCAUUAGCUAGUUGGAGAGGUAACGGCUCACCAAGGCGAUGAUGGGUAGCCGGCCUGAGAGGGUGAUCGGCCACAAGGGGACUGAGACACGGCCCUUACUCCUACGGGAGGCAGCAGUGGGGAAUAUUGGACAAUGGACCAAGAGUCUGAUCCAGCAAUUCUGUGUGCACGAUGAAGUUUUUCGGAAUGUAAAGUGCUUUCAGUUGGGAAGAAAAAAAUGACGGUACCAACAGAAGAAGUGACGGCUAAAUACGUGCCAGCAGCCGCGGUAAUACGUAUGUCACAAGCGUUAUCCGGAUUUAUUGGGCGUAAAGCGCGUCUAGGUGGUUAUGUAAGUCUGAUGUGAAAAUGCAGGGCUCAACUCUGUAUUGCGUUGGAAACUGUGUAACUAGAGUACUGGAGAGGUAAGCGGAACUACAAGUGUAGAGGUGAAAUUCGUAGAUAUUUGUAGGAAUGCCGAUGGGGAAGCCAGCUUACUGGACAGAUACUGACGCUGAAGCGCGAAAGCGUGGGUAGCGAACAGG
rnacentral:rRNA from 1 species